CGUGUCGGUGGAUCAUUCGGUUCAUAGGUCGAUGAAGAGCGCAGCUAAAUGCGAUAAGUAAGGUGAAUUGCUAAGCAGAACCUUAAAUUCUUGAAUGCAAAUGGCGCUAAUAGUAUUUUAUA
rnacentral:rRNA from 1 species